UCCAUUGCUCCCCUGGGUACGAGGGAGGGGCUCACUGAGACUCGUUACACAGACCGUCACUAAGAGAUGGAUUGGGCUCCUGGGGACAUCCAGAAGCAUUAAGUCAAACUUGGGCCUGAGUGCUUCCACAGAGCCCAGUGAUGGGGGGGGAGACAUGGGGGAUGCGGAAGGCUCUCUGCCAGGUGGAUUAUGGGUAAAGCUGGUAUGAGGGGAAACAGCAGCCCUCCACUGAGAGCUUCAGAAGGGUAAAUCCCAUCUGGCAAAACAACAGACCAUGCGAAAACUUGGAUGUGUAAACCCUCCCCAGGUCAACACACAAAUGCACACCCUGAGGAUCUUGGGUAGGCUCUGAACGUGUUUUACAACGCUCAUAGGUGACAACAGUUAGUGGUUAGGGGUGUCCCACAAGUAGAGGAUUCAGCUAGUGGGUGGGGCCAUAUUGGUGGGCGUGUCUGUAGAGGGGUGGGUGGGGCCAUGUCUGUUGGUAGGUGUGUCAGGGCUUGUGGUGGAGGUGUCUGUCGCCAGGCUGCAUCCAUGGAAUGGAACACGCCUUAUUUAAUUCUCGCUUUGGCAGCAGCUACACAAUCAUGCUGCAUAAAGCAUCUGAGCGACUGCAGAAGCCAGUAAUAACACUGAAUAUCAUGCGGCCAUUUACAUUAUGUAAACCACUCCAGAAGAAAUGAGUCCUUCUGUCUGGAAUCUCCAUCUGCUUGGAUCCGUACCGUCUCCGCCACCUAUGGUGCCAGUGCUGAAGCUGCAGACGUCACCGACGCAAGGCUCCUGGUAACAGCUGCAAAUAAUUAAUGUGAGUUACGCCCCAUGCGCGGGGAGACGGGCUGCCUGCACCCCACACGCGUCCCUCCUCGCUGGGAAACAGCGUGCGGCUGGUGGCUAGUGGUGGCAGGAAGGGAAAGGGACAACGGGGACGAGGCCGGAGGUGGGUAUCAGUGAGUGGCGAUGCUGGGCAGCCCACGGACGCGGCCUGCACACCCCAGGGUGACUGCUUACCGGAAGCCUGUGAGGACACAGCAUGAUCUCAGCAGUCAGCCAUUCCCACCACGCCCAGCCACUGCGAACAAAGACAGCUUUAAUCUGCAAAUAAUUAUUCAAAUUCUACAAAGGAAGUAAGAGAACACUAAGUUUCCAAAACUUAUUCAGUCCAUGGGAUGCAUGGACAGGAUAGGUUCACGAGUGGCAGUACCAGAAGUUCCAUCACCAAGAAUACCAAACCAGCUGGAGUACUUUUUCGAUACUUCAGUAUUUGCACGCAUGUUUACUGUGUGCAUUAAGUGCAAUCUGGUCGAAAGAACAUAUCGCGAAAUUUAAACUUCCUGGACAGUAUGAAAAAGCCUGAUCUUAACCCAGCUGACUAUUGCAGUAGACGUGAGAAUUUAAUGUGCAUAACAUGCAUUGUUGGUAUUAAUAUCGCACAUCACCCAUCUCUAUAUACUACAGCCAUUUUUUUCGAAUUCAGUACAAAAUACCCUGCCUUGUGUCAUUCAGCACUGGUACCAGUGUUCACAUCCUGAGUGAGUUUUGGAAAUUUGUUCCUCAAUUAUGUGUUAAAAGGCCCUUUGAAUGAAUCAGAUAAACAAUAUGACUAUAAUCCAUUAAAUAAAUGACGACA